GCUGGGAGUUCUGGAAUAAAUACAACUUGCAAAGGGUUGUAUUCAGAACAUUCCUACAAGUCAACAAUAAAAGACAAACAGCUUAGUAGAAUAAAUGGUGAAAAAUAGAAACAAAAUUCACAGAAGGAACCUGAAUGCCUAAUAAAAAUAUAAAUGGGAGUUCAACCUCACCAUGACAAGGGAAAUGCAUGGGCAAUCCAACUUUACACUCAGCAUGACUGCAAACAUUACAGAGUCCAUUAAAAUGGUGAGGAGCUGAGCAACAAGACCCACUCGCAGGAGGGGUACAGAGGAUGCCCUGUGACCCCGCAACUCCACUCACAGGAAAUGCCUAGGGAAUCUCUCACACUUGAGAAUGACUGCUGCAUUGUUGUAAUAUUGAGAAAUUGGGGCCAACCUAAGUACUCACCAACAGGAUGUUGUUAAAUAAACUGUGAUAUCUACUCAAUGGAAUAUCACACCCCACCUAGGGGAGCAGAGGAGACUGUGUAUGGACACAGACAGCUCAUGAAGGUAAGGGAGAAAGAAAAGCAACUCACAAAGAUACUGAUUUAUACGGUUUACAAAUACACGUACAGUGAAAAAUGACACCAUCAAGCCAGGCACAGUGGUGCACACUUACAGUCCCAGCUACUUGGGAGGCUGAAGCAGGAGGAUCACUUGAGCCCAGAGGUUUGAGUCCAGUCUGGGCAACACAGGAAAAACUCUGUCUCAAAAAAAAAAAAAACUUUUAAAAUGACCAUAUCAUGGAAAAUUCUGGAGAGCAGUUAUCUUGGGACAGAGAUGAGGCAGUUGGCGGGGCGGGGCGGGGUGGGGGGGAACAGGGGACAGGGGUGGUCACAGGAGUCCUAGCUGCUCUGAAGUCGUGAGUGGGGACAGCAGAGCCUGUUCAGGAGGCUGCUGACUGUCCAGGGCUUUGCUGAGUGCCUGGCUCUGCCAAUGGGAGGUUACCAGCAGGAGAGCCUGGAGUGUCGAGGAGUCACCACGGCCCUGCACUCAGUUAAUGCUCUACUGUUGCUGUCUGGAUAUCACUUGACUUUUGGGUGUGGUUGGUGUUGCUUUAAGUUUCUGGGGAUAGCAAAAGCUUAAGAAGUGACUCUUGCCAUCACAUGGCUGACCACCUCUGGUGAGAACACUGGAGAAUAGUUUAGGGGUGCCCGAGUUUCCCCCACUGCAUAGAGCCUGGUGCCAGGGAAGACAGGCUGGACCUGGCUGUGGCCCCUUGAAUGGUGGCAGGGAGACCACAGCACAUCGCAGGGCCCUGAGGAUGACGUGUAUUUGAGGGGGCAGGGUUCUCCAGUAGCAGGUGUUGCACAGUGGGGAAUGGUGGGUGCAGAGCUGGGUUAGUUUUAGCAGAGGUGUGAAGGUGAUUCCUCUCUGAGCUGGAGGUGGAAGCAAAUGGGAAAACGGUCUGGCAUAAACAGACAAGCCCCGGGGAGGCAGACAGCGUCCACCACUACCAGGUCCACCUGCUUUAGGUAUACCUUCCUACCAGGACAUGAGAGCCCACAGUGGCUGGGGUCUUGUCAUCAGGCACCCUGAAUGCUUUCAGGUGGAUGGUUUGGAUCUCUCCUCACCUGGCUGGUCAGGCCAGGGAGGACAAGCUGUGGACCUAACAGGUGACCACUGUCCAGACAAGGCAGGCAGGGCCCCAGCCCAAUGCCUGAGUCAGCAGGCUCCUAACAGCCUGAGUGACCUCCUCAUAGCAUGGGGUCAGUGCAGCGGCAAUGUCUGGGUUGUUGAGGGUUUUGAUGGGUGAUCAAUGCUGGAGGAUCCUCCCUCUGCCUUCCCCAUCCAACACAGAUCAUCUCCAAUGUGCCAGACCUGUGCUGGGCAACAAGGUUGGCUGAGAUGGCCUGAGACAGGGUCCCUUGAUGAACAGUCCACUGGGAAUGGGGCCUGCAGUGGCCCUGGAUGAUUUCAGUAUCUGCCACUCACCUUGGUCAUGAUGCCACAGAGAGUGUGGCAUGGCCAGGACUGUACCUGGGGCAGAUGGUCUUGCUCUUUGGUUCUGGGGAGGAGCGCAAAGUGACUGGGCUCAGGUGAAGGAGCUGUUGGCUUAUGAGGAGGCUGCUCCAAGAAGCAAAUAGGAGACAAGGAACCACUGGCCUGCAGAUGGGGCAGGAUCCUGGACCUGGGCCCCCCGAGUCACCAGCCACAUGGCCUUGGGAGUGUUACUUACUCCUGUGAUUGUAGCACAAUGAGGGGUUAGACUACAAAGUCCCUCAGGCCCUGACCAGCUCUGGGGAAGAAGGCCUAGGACUGAGAGAGGCAGCAGGGAGGCUGGCCAGGGUCACCUCCCAGGUCCAGGCAGCUUUCCUGCAAGUGUUUCCUAAGCUGUCCUUCUCCAGGGAGAAUAGCCUCAGCCCUGCCUGACAGGAGGCGGCAUACACCUGAGCGCCUGACAGUACCCUCGUGAACCUGCCUGAGGGUGGCCACAUUCCCACACCCCAUGUGUGCCUAUCUCCAUCAGCACUGAGAAGACAGCAAACGCCAGCUUGCCAGGGGUUUACCCAGAAAGCCCAGCGCAUACCCCCAGAGUGUUCUGGCAGACCUGUGCCAGCUGGGUUCAGUGACAGUUCAUCCUGCCAUGGGCUCUGGUCUCCCCAUCACCCUCUGAGGGGGAAGCAGGAAGUUGUGAGGGGUAGCCGGGCCUGACCUCUCUUCCCUGGCACGAUGCUGUCUCCCUGUGCAAAGUGGGGACUUCAGGCAUUUGGUGUGGAGGAAUGGGUGGUGGGAUUGAAAACCCCUACCAGACCCCUGUCACACCAAGGAGCCCAGCGAUGGGGGGGUUUCUUCCCUCCCUCUGAGGUAAGACCAAUCUGUUAAACUUUCAGUACUAAAAAAUAAAACCGAGUGGGAGGAAGGUGAGGACUGAAAAACUACAUAUCAGGUAUCAUGCUGAUUACCUGGGUGACAAAAUUAUCUGUACACCAAACCCCUAUGAUCCAAUUUACCCAUGUAACAACCCUUGAACCUAAAGUUGGAAAGAAAAAAAAAGGUAAAAUUAACAAAUCCAUAUUAGUGUGAGCUGGGUGAGUAGUUUAGUCUGAAAUGACAGAAUAUUCAUUUUUCGUCUCUCUGAGAUAGUGACCACACUGUCCUCACCAGGA
rnacentral:lncRNA from 1 species